rnacentral:rRNA from 1 species
AGGGCACCACCAGGAGUGGAGCCUGCGGCUUAAUUUGACUCAACACGGGAAAACUCACCCGGCCCGGACACUGGAAGGAUUGACAGAUUGAGAGUUCUUUCUUGAUUCAGUGGGUGGUGGUGCAUGGCCGUUCUUAGUUGGUGGAGUGAUUUGUCUGGUUAAUUCCGAUAACGAACGAGACUCUAGCCUACUAAAUAGAUCGUCGGCUUACAAACGCCGGCGAGACUUCUUAGAGGGACAGGCGGUGAUUCAACCGCACGAAACAGAGCAAUAACAGGUCUGUGAUGCCCUUAGAUGUCCGGGGCCGCACGCGCGCUACACUGAAGUGAUCAGCGUGCUUUUUCAACCUACUCUGUCAAGAGUGGGGAACCCAAUGAACCUUCUUCGUGAUUGGGAUAGGGGAUUGUAAUUAUUCCCCUUGAACGAGGAAUCCCCAGUAAGCGCGAGUCAUAAGCUCGCGUUGAUUACGUCCCUGCCCUUUGUACACACCGCCCGUCGCUACUACCGAUUGAAUGUUUU